rnacentral:rRNA from 1 species
UACGUAGGGGGCAAGCGUUGUCCGGAUGUAUUGGGCGUAAAGAGCGUGUAGGCGGCCUGGCAGGUCAGCUGUGAAAACUCGAGGCUCAACCUCGAGACGUCGGUUGAAACCACCUGGCUAGAGUCCGGAAGAGGAGAGUGGAAUUCCCGGUGUAGCGGUGAAAUGCGCAGAUAUCGGGAAGAACACCCGUGGCGAAGGCGGCUCUCUGGGACGGUACUGACGCUGAGACGCGAAAGCGUGGGGAGCGAACAGG